UAUUUCCUAUUCUGUCAGGUUGGUUGGCUUUUUACUAAAAAAUCAGAAUAAUGAAGAGAAGAAGGCUUCAUGGAAGAUCAUAGGAGCCACUGUUUGUAUUUAUUUGGGACCCCUGAGGGAAACCUCUGCUAAAAUAACUUGGUUAUGAGUUAUGAAUUAUGCAUCGUUAAUUAACACUGACACGUAUCUGUGCACAAGGAAGUGGCCCAAUCAGAUGGAAUGGGACAGGGACCAAGCCUGGCUGCAUUCCCAGUAAGGAUGGAAAGAUUGAAACUGAGUUUAGAAGUUUUGAGGGAUAAAUGGAUGUCUAGUCUUAAACCCAGUACUAACAUAAAAAAGUUCUAUUUUAAAUUUUUUGAGGACUCUUUAUAUUGUUUUCCAUAGAAGCUACACCAGUUUACAUUCUCAUCAACGGUGUAUGGAAGUGCUCUUUUCUCCACAUCUUUGCCAGCACUUUUUAUCUUUUGUCUUUUUCAUAAAAGUGACUCAAGCAGGUGUGAGGUGAUAUCUCAUUGUGGUUUUGAUUUGCAUUUCCCUGAUGGUAAGUGAUGCUGAGCAUCUUUUCAUGUGUCUGUUGGUCAUUUGUAUGCCUUCUUUUGAGAAAUGUCUGUUUGGAUACUUUGCCCAUUUUUCAAUCAGGUUAUUUGUUUUUCUGUUAUGGAGUCUGAAUUCCUUAUAUAUUUUGAUACCAAACCCUUACCAGAUAUGUGGUUUGCAAAUAUUUUCUCCCAUUCUAAGGUUGCUUUUUCACUCUAUUUAUUGUUUCUUUUGCUAAGUAGAAGUAUUUAGUUUGAUGUGAUCCUAUUUGCCUGUUUUUGCUUUUGUUGCCCAUUCUUUUGAUGGUAUAGCCAAGACCAAUGUCAAGUUUGGGCUGUACAUUUAGAGGUUUUUUUCCAUUUCUUUUUUUUUUUUUUUUUACAUUUAAGUUUUGAAUCCAUUUUGAGUUGAUUUUUGUAUAUGUGUAAGGGUCCAAUUUCAUGAUUCUGCCUGUGGUUAUCCAGUUUUCCCAACACCAUUGAUAGCACUAUCUUUUCCCUAUUUUUGUUCUUGGCACCCUUAUCAAAGUUCAGUUGACCCUAAAUGGUUCAAUUCAUUUGUAGUUUUCUUAUUCUGUUGUAUUGGUCUAUAUGUCUGUUUUUAUGCCAGGACCACACUGUUUUGAUCCUACUUCUGAAUAUAUAGUCAAAAGGAAAUGAAAAUCAGGAUCUUGAAGUGAUAUCUACACUCCUGGGUUCACUGCAGCAUUAUUCACAAUAGCCAAGAUAUGGAAACAACCUAAAUGUCUGUCAAGCUAAUAAAUGGAUAAAGAAAAUGGCAUAUUUAUAUAUGCAUAUACAUAUACACCAUGUAUUAGCUUUUGGAAUAUUAGUUUUUGUUAAUAGUUAAUUGUGGACACUUCAUAGUACAUACACAUACAUUAAGACAUCAAAUUGUAUACCUUAAAUAUAUACAACUUUGAAUUGUCAUUUAUGCCUGAAUAAAGCUGGGGGGAAGAAACAACUAAAAAAAAAAAAGAAAAGAAAAAAAGAAACCCAGCAUUAAUGUUAAUGUGGGAGGAGCACAUAAUAAAAAAAAAAAAAAUAAGAACAGCACAAAGACAAUAACCCGCUAAUAAGCAAGUAGUAGAGGUCUAGAAAUGCUUUUUUUUUUAUGAUUUACAUAUACAUUGGUUACCUCUACCUUCCUCAGGAUCUUUAUUGCAGUGUUCCUUUCCUCUAACACUCCUUCCUCCCCCUUCCCCAAAUCUGUGAAUAGCUCUUCAAUUCAAUUCAAUUCAAUUCAAUUUUGAGCCUAUGAUUUGCUAUGUACUAGGGAGAAAGUGAUGAACAAACUAAUCUGUACUUCAAGGUAUUUAAAUAUCUAGGUAAGUAAAUAUACAUGUACACAAAUUUAAUUUUAUAUAGUAUUUUACAUAUAAUAAUAUAAGUAUGUUCAAGGGGCACAGAUAAGCACUGAUGCAAAAAAAAAAAAAAAAAAAACGUUUAAGCCCAUGUGAGGUGUUCGAGGUGUUAAGAAUGAGAUGUUUAGGGGCGCCUGGGUGGCGCAGUCGGUUAAGCGUCCGACUUCAGCCAGGUCACCAUCUUGCGGUCCGUGAGUUUGAGCCCCACGUCGGGCUCUGGGCUGAUGGCUCAGAGCCUGGAGCCUGUUUCCGAUUCUGUGUCUCCCUCUCUCUCUGCCCCUCCCCCGUUCAUGCUCUGUCUCUCUCUGUCCCAAAAAUAAAUAAACGUUGAAAAAAAAAAUUAAAAAAAAAAAAAAAAAGAAUGAGAUGUUUAAAUAUAUUUAGAAAGAGGACUGUGGAGGUGCUAGCCAGCUGAUUGAUCACUGUAUUACUGUGGGCAUGAUUUUCUUUUUCAGAGGGUAGAAAGACUAUUUUAGUCUAGCUCUGUUUUAUUCAUUUCUUAGAUCUAGACUUGUUAAUAGAAAAUUUGAAAUCAGUGAUAAUGUUAUAUUUAUGUAACUCCAGUAUAAUUAAUUAGAACAUGAACUUUUAAAUAAGAAUGUCAGUGACAUAAAACAGGUUCUUUUUGACACAAUAAAGAAAAAUGAUAGUCUGUUGGUUUUUUUGCAUGGUUUGUCAGGUUUAAUUCUUGUUUGUACUUAGACCUUUUUUUUUUUAAGCUAGAAUCAGAAUGUGUUUUAGAAAAAAAUGCACCAAUGUAUGAUAAAACUCAUUUUAUAAAUGGACUUAAACCAGGACUCGGCUUAGAUUAGUUUGUUCAAGCUAAGCUCCUUUGAAUUCUAACUUCCGUGCAACACUUUGGCUGCUGCAUAAGCAGGGAUUUAUCUGAGACUGGUGCAAUAAACUAAAAUGGUUAUUAGAUUAUCUUAAAUUGAAACGAUAUGAUAAUCCAUGUUGAAAUUAGAGGAAUUUGGAGUUCCUCUUUUUCCCUUUACUCAGUAACGACUUCAUUUUAAAUUAUGUUAUUCAAAGGCUACUGGAGCUUUUAUAAAUUAUUCAUUUGCAAAGAUCUAGCUAUUUCAAGCCACAUCCCCUGAAACAGAAGGGGUUGGGUAAGAUGGUUUCAUUUUGCCGAAGCAUUCAUAAAUACCCCUUUGCCAUACUUCCGAAACAAAUUUGGAUGUCUGUUAGCUUACAGGACACUUAUAUGCCACUACCAGGUUAUCUCAUCUAAUAGUUCCCCUUUCUAGAACAACCUGAGAGUGAGCUUUUUCUCAUUCUGAUUAUGUCACUAACUUCUAAACUGAGAGAAAAAUUAACUGUAUCUCUGGGGAUUUCAGCAAUUCUUGCAUCUUCCUAGGCAAGCCAGCCUUUUCCUUAACAUUUGUGAUCUGUCUUGUAGGAGAAGCAAGAGCUGUUUUCUUUUUGUGUCUCCCUAUUUAUGUAUAUUUCAGUAGUAAUAUACUUAAUCUCUGAGAUCCUCUUGUUUGUGUAUUUUUGUUAUAGUUAAGAUGACUAUAUUAAUUAGGAAUCUUUUCUUUUCUUUUCUUUUUUAAAGAUUUCAUUUUUAAGUAAUCUCUACGCCUAGCAUGGGGUUCCAAUUGACAACCCCGAGAGCAAGAGUCAUGUACUCCAUUGACUGAGCCAGUCAGGCACCGCAGGAAUAUUUCUUCUUUUUCCUUCUUCUUUUUCUUUUUCUUUUUCUUUUUCUUUUUCUUUUUCUUUUUCUUUUUCUUUUUCUUUUUCUUUUUUCUUUCUUUCUUUCUUUCUUUCUGGUUUUUUUUUUUUUUUUUUCUGUAGCCCAGGAUUAUUUCUAAGCAAGGUAUUUUCUGGGUAGAUUUCUGUUAGUCUGAAUCAACCCUCUCCAUUAUUGGACACAGAUGCAGCUGGUAAUCAAUCAUCUAUAAUUAUGCUUUGGAAAAACCUCAUAUGCAGAGAUACUCAACUUGUCAUAGAUAUAAUUUAUAAGUAAUUCUACAAAAUUUAUAUUCUGUAAUCUCUUUGAAAGAUUUACUCAGUGACUGAAAAGAUUGCUUCUCUUCCUGAUAACCAGUGUUAUUUAGUAAAAAUGGUGCUAUUUAGUAUAAUAUUAUCAAACUUUGUUAGGUUUCGAGUUCUGAGUCAUUUAUUCUUUUCCUAUCCUUCCCCUUCAGUGCAGAAAGUCCCUUGCGUGACCUUGUGGUGAGACUUGGAGACAGGUGGGGGUGGAGAAUCAGAACCUAGAAUUGCAUUUCCCUAAGAAUGGCCUGAAAGCAGCCUAAACGGAAGAGGUGGCAGAUUCAAAAGGUCAUGGGAAUGAAGCCAGAAAGCCUCAGGUAAGGAGGAAUGAGUCAGUGAUAAGUAAAAGCAACAAAUGCAGAUCGACUAAUUCUGUAAGAAAUUUGAUCAUGAAGUUAAGGAGAUCAAAGAAUGGAUUGGAAUGAGGAAAGUUUCUUUAAAGGUAGAAUAGAUUUGAGCAUAUUUACCUAGAAGAAGAGCCAGUGCAAAUGGAGAGACUGUUAAAAAUUCUUGGAGGAAGACAGAAGGAAAAAGUUCAGGAGCUCAUGUGGAGGGGUUAGCAAUUGCAAGGAAGCAGAAUACCUGUUGAGAGAGUAAAAUGAGGGGAAAAAGAAUUAUGGAGAUACAGAAUGUGAUGGUUAAUUUUAUGUGUCAACUUGGUUAGGCUAUGAUACACAAUUGUUUGGUCAAAAAACAGUCUGGGCUUUGCUGUGAAGGUAUUCUUUUAGAUGUGAUUAACAUUUAAAUGUAGUGGACUUUGGGCAAAACAGAUUGUUUUCCAUAAAGUGGGUAGGCCUCAUCUAAUCAGUUGCAGGCCCUAAGAGCAAAGUCUGAGGUUCCUGUGAAAAAAGGAAUUCUGCCUACUGAUGGCUUUUGGACUUGAGCUGCAAUAUCAACUCUUCCCGUAGUCUCCAGCCUAAUACAUUUGCCAGUCCCACAUUUGUGUGAACCAAUUCCUUAAAAUAAAUCUCUGUUCCUGCAUAUAUGUUGGUUCACAAUCUUAGGAAUCUUCUGGGUGAAAUAUGAAACUGGCUCCUGUCUGUAUGUGGAGGAUAAGGAGAGACCUAAGAAAGAGACCACUCCAGAUUGGUAGGUAGCAGUCUUAUUAGGCAAGGGGACUUAGAUAUGAGAUUUAUCUUGGUAGGCCAUGACAAGUCGAUUUCACCUACCUGCCAGAAUCAUAAGAAUCUAUACAGAAAGCUUAGAAGGUUCAGUCACGUAUUAAGUCCAUAUAGUCUUAAUAACACAUACUCUCUCAAGGCUGCAUCCUUGAAGCGGCUCCUAGUGCAAGAAUAGUGAGUGGAAGGUACAUUCCAAGAACGAGGGGAGUAUUUAAGGAGACUUGGAUUGCUCAGGUUCAGCUUGAGGGUCAAGCAGCAGUCAUGUCCUUUCAGUGACCUUCAACAAUGUGUAUAUAUCCUGCUGGUUCUGUUUCUCUGAAGAACCCUGACCAAUACAUAGAUUCAGGAAGAAGUGGAAAGGUUUUGAAGAUGCUCAGGUUAGUGAUGUCAAUAUUUUUGGUAAGAUGGGGACUGAGAUAUGUAAUGGAAAUGAGGAGGAGGCUUGAAAGUAGAAGAGUUUUCAAAGAAGUUUUAGGUGGGUAUAUGAAACUAUGAAUUCUUCCACAGGAGGAAGCUUAUCUUAUUCAUUUUGUAUCCUAAAAUCAUAGCACAAUAGUUGGCAUUAUGAAAGUGCUCAACAAAUGCUUGUUGUUUGUCAAAUAAGCUGAAGAAAAAGAUGAUGAAGGGCUCAGCUAAGAUUUGCUGCUACAAACUCAUGAUGAAUAAAUUGUGACAGCUUUGUAAUUUUUUAUAAUAACAUUAGUUCUCUGGAAGUUUCAUCAGAAAAAGUGAACUAUGGGAAUCAGCACAUGGAGACCUACUGAGGGUCAAGAGAUCAAGGACAACCAGUAUGGCAGUAAAUGAACUAUGUAUUGUGAAAAUGGCACAAUGAGAACCAGGCUGGGUAAAAAAGUAAAAGAAGACAUAUUGGGAUGAUUGGUCUGAGAGAACUGGAAGGAACCAAAGGAUUAAAUGCCUUAGUGGAGAUAGGGAGGAUGUUUAAUGGGAGAAGUAAUCUGGAGAGAUGGGAGUAUUUGUCUAUCAGCUUCAUAAUUUCCAGGAUCAUUGUGGUCAAGUGGGCAAAGUAGGAGUAACAUAAAGACUGGUAUUACUGAGGGGUGCCUGGGUGGCUCAGUCAUCUAACUCUUGAUAUCGGCUCAGGUCAUGAUCUCAUGAUUAUGAGAUCAAGCCCUGUGUCAGUCUCCAUGCUGAGCAUGUAGACUGCUUGGGAUUCUGUCUCUCCCUCUCUCUUUCUCUCUGCCCCUCUGCCACUUGCAUGUGUGCUUUCUCUCUCUCUCAAAAUAAAUAAAUAAACAAGCCUAAAAAAGAAGAUUGGAAUUCUUCAAAGAAUAUACUGUUAUUUUGCUAUUUAUACAUAUUGGAAUUCCUUAAUGUAUAAUAUAUACUUUAUUAUUGCUAUUUUAAUUUUGCUAUUUAUGCAUAUUUUAAUUACUUAGUAUAUAAUUUAAGAAGGUUCUGACAAACAGAAAAUAUAGUCAGUAAUUGCAUAGAAUUACCUACUUUGAUUAUGAAACAUUAUCUAGAGUAACAAAAUACUUCAUUAAGUGUGGGAUCUUUCUAGACUCCAGUCAGGGUGUUGAGUAUUAAGGGCACUGAACUUGGAAUUAGAAGACCUUGGAAUGAGGCUUUUCCAUUUGCUAGAUGAGUGAACUUGGGCAAUUCAUGUAAUCUCAUUACGUUUUUAUUUUACCAAAGAUGAAUGAUAAUGGUUAGGAUUAUUGUAAAAAUUUGAUGAAAUAUACAGGAGCCCCUUUCAACUGUGAAGUUUAAAUAUUUGUAACAAAUAUUAAUUAAACAUGAUAUUUUCCUUCAAGGAACAUUUUACUUGAAAAAGAUGCUUAAGGGUUCAUUUUUAGUAUGACAAUGGCAUAAUGAGGUUAAAACAUCUUAAUUAUGUUUAUUAAUUUUAUUAUAUUUAGCAAUUACAAAUAUUUGAGAGAUAAUUAUAUAUAGUUUAAUCUAAUGUAAACCAAAACCAAAACACAGAUUUAAAAAGCCCCUGAAUGUACUUUAAGUGUUGUGAUUUCCCUUGUUUUCGGAAGAAUAAUUCUUAUGGUUCUUCCUGCUAACAGCAGUGAUGGAGUAGAUUUGUGUGUGUGUGUGUUUAAUUAACUUUCAAUAAAAUAAAAUCCUAGACAUGGAAGAGUAACUAUAAAUUGUAUAUACUCUGAAUACAGCUAAAGUUAACCAAAAGGAUUCAUUUCAUGUUAGACUGUAAGCCAGAAAUAAUGGAAAAGUAAGUGCAAUAUACAAGUGGAAAAUAAUACACUUAAAAAUUUUUUUUAAUGUUUUAUUUAUUUUUUUAAGACAGAGAGAGAGCAUGAGUGGGGAUGGGGCAGAGAGAGAGGGAGACACAGAAUCUGAAGCAGGCUCCAGGAUCUGCGCUGUCAGCACAGAGCCCGUUGCGGGGCUCGAACUCCUGAACUGUGAGAUCAUGACCUGAGCUGAAGUCGGACACUCAACCGACUGAGCCAUCCAGGUGCCCCGGAAAAUAAUACACUUUAUAUAAUAUCAUUUCACUAAAUGUUAAUUUAAUUUUUUAUAGUUAAUGUUGUAAGUUCAGAGAUUCAGUCUCCUAACAGAAUUCCUAGGCAGAUGUUAAAUAUCUACCCCUAAUUAACAAAUCUUAACUUGAAUGUUAAGCCCCUGUGUAAUCAACAUGAUACUUAGUAUUAAAUAUUUGAACAGUUAACAAUCAUAAUUUUCUGCACCUGAGGUGACAAUGUAUUGUACAAGACCUGUCAUGACACUGUGCAACAGGAAAUCCUUUUCACUUUAGAAUCUGUGGAAGAAGGAAUUCUUUCCAUUAACAUAGCUUCAAAUGAUCCCCGAUGCUCCGGCCCACGUUAUCCAAGAGAACAGAACCCAGGUCUUGGCAGGAAUCAAGAAAGAGAGCACAUGCACAGAGAACAUUCGGAUUAGAAAUAAAGAGAAUUUGGAAUUCUUGCAGCAUUUCUGAGGGCAUUAGGGUAUAAACAGGUGUACUGCAACCAAAACUAAAGUGUGGGGGUUAAGUGAGGUAGGAUCUUACUUCUCUCAGGUAACAGAGAGUAAAGUAUGCAGGUAGUCCAGGGAAGGUAGCAUGACCUGAUCAGUGAGACUAUCCAACCAAAUAUGCUGGACGGUAGUGACUUUUUUUCAGUAGAUUUAGGGCAGCUCCUUUAAGUGUCCCAUUUCCCAGCCACCGAGGAGCGUGAAAGGGGAAAUGAAAGGUGAGCCUCUCUUUUUGUGGAUGUGACCCAGAGAUUGCUCAUACUGCUACCAUUCACAUCUCCUGUCUAGAAUUUACAAGGUCACACUUAACUGCAAGAAAGGCUGGGUGACGUACUUUCUAGCUGGGAAAGUUUAUGCCCUAUAAUUGGUGGUGUCUUCCUUUCCUCUUCUGUCUGCCACCACCGGCAUGUAAUCUGUAAGUGAGUCUGAUAGUUUGACUUCCAAAUGAUUUCCAUUAUUUUCCAUAUUCCUAACAAUACUCUACAUCCCUUGCCUAGCCUACUGUGAUAACCUAACUGGUUUGCUUGCUUCCACUCUUGCCUCAUUAAGUCAUUUCUCACAGAGUAGUCACUGAAUUUUAAAUAUAUAAACCAAAGCUCAUCACUCUUCUUUUUAAUCCCUUUGGUGUCUACUCAUUUCUAGAGAGUAAAGUAUAAACUCUCCAUCAUGACCCAUAGGACCCAGCAACGUCCAGGCUCUAGUCUAUCCAGCCCCAUUCUUGUACUAUGCUUUUGCCUGGUCAGCAUGUUCUGGCCACUCUGGCUUCUACCUUUUUCUAGAGCACAUUCCCAGCCUCAGACCUUUAAACCCACUAUUCCUUGUCUAAGAAAUUUUUUUGCAAGGAUCUCUGUGUGGCUGGCUUACCCUCAUCUCUUGACAUUCAGCACAAAUGUCAUCUCUUCUGAGGACCUUUCCUGACUGCUUUAAGCAGAUGUCUUGUUUCCAGUUACUCCUUAUCAGCCACCUUGUUUAUUCCCUUCAUAGCACUUAUUAAAUAAUAUAACAAGCCUAUUUGUUUACCUAUAGAUUAAUCAAUUGUCUCUUGAUUAGAAAGUGAUCCUUAAGAGGAAAGUCUGAUUUACCUCUGAUUCUUGACACUGGAACAUAAAUAGAGCUUAACGCAUGUCUGUCGAAUGAAUGACUAAAUGAAUUGGUGAAUUUCAUAUGCUUCUUAAAGAUAGGAUGAGGUUUUGAAGAUUAUGCCUGCCCAUGGUGGGAAAAUCAGGUACAAAGAACCUUAUGCAAAUUUACCUCUAUUAGUUUCAUUUCUGACUUGGGUGUACUGCAUGUUAUACCUGAGCCAUCAAUUUAUCAACCUCAGAUGGUAUUUGGAGUCUUAGCCAUUUUCCUCUGUAGCAGGUUGAAUGGUAGACCUCCAGAAGUUAUGUUCAUGUCUUAAUGCCUGGAUCCUGUGAAUGCUCAGUUACUUGAAAAUGGGUCUUUGCAGAUGUGGUUAAGGUUCUUGAGAUGAGAUCAUCUUAGAUUAGCUGAGUGGGCCCUAAAUCCAAUGACUAAUGUCUGGUAAAUGUAGAAGGAGAUUUGAAAAACUAGACAACAUGAUGGGAAAAGAGAGGCAGAGAUUGGAGUUAUGCAGCUAUAUGCCAAAGGAUGCCUGAGCCACCAGAACCUGGAAGAAGCAAGGAAGGUUUCUCUUCCAGAGCCUUUGGGGUGAUUGUGGCCAUGCUGUCAACCUGAUUCAGAGCUCUGGCUUCCAGAAGACAGAAGAUUUCUGUUGUUUCAAGUCACCUGAAUGAUUUCUCAGUAGAAGUAUGACACAAAUAUUGCCUGGAACAUCCUUAUACUAAAAAAUUAUUUGUUAUUUAUAUGAAAUUCUAAUUUAACUUGGAAUUCUGCAUUUUUAUUUGCUAAAUCUGGCAAUUUUACUCUAAUCCCAAGAAUUUGUGAAAAAUGAAGAAUUGGCUGGGAAUGAUAUAUAGAUUCUGCCAAGUAAGAAUUGGCAUCAAAAAAUUUUUUUUUGUCUAUUAAGUAACUAAAAGAAAAUGAAAUUAGUGUCAUGGGAGUUUUAAAUAUGCUACAAAAUCCUGAAAUUUUGCCCAGAAAAUUAACUAAGCAAAAUGCUUGGAAAUAUAAAAGAUUUCUGAUGCUCUAAAUCUGAUCUAAAACUAUCUCAGGAGUGGCUAAUUUGUUUCUUAUGAUUAUAAAAAGUAAGAACUAAAUUCCAUCUGAUCCUCGCUUAUUUUUUUUUUUAUAUCUCAGGGGAAUUAAGAUUGAAUUAAUGACGGUCUCUUAUUUCUACUACCAACAGUUUAUUAGAUUCAGCUUGAAAAUAGGUAGAUUAAAGCACAGAAAUGAAAAAAAAAACUUAGACUGAAAAUAGCCUUCAAUGGUGCACAUUGAGAGGUGGUCUUCCCUGGGGGUGUGCAGGUGUUUCCAGCAAUGAGUGAGGAACCUCUACAAGACCAUUAUUUCUUCUGAUGCCUCAGGAGCAACUAAUACCACUCAUGAGGCAAAAUUCUGGUUUCCUCUGUUUAAAUUUUGUAUUCUUAAUGUUUGUAGUCACUUCUUUUUUUCCCUUGUGAGUUUUUAAGCACAAAUACCAUGCAAGCUAUUAAAUAAGUAAUUAAACCUAUUUCAGGAUCCGUGGAAUAGGCAAAUGGGGUGGGGGACAGCAGUGGGGGGAGAGAGAAAGAGAAUAAGAACAGAGCACCGAAAUGGCCCACAUCUCAGUUUUAUUUAAUGAAAGACUAAGUGAACUGGGUGGAUUUCAUAUGUCUCUUACAUUUGCCCAUGGUGAGCAAAUUAGGUAAAAAGAACCUUAUGUAAAGGUUUUCUUCUAUCAGCUUUAUUUCUGACUAAAGUGUGCUGAAUGAUAUACCCAAGCAAGACAACUUCACCUCCUCUGUUACAAUUGAACAAUUAAGAGUCUUUAGGCAGGCAAGGAUAGAGAGAGAGAGAAGGAAAACUGAGAAACACCAAAUAGUGGAUGAUUCUUGGUGCUGCUGGAGGUCCUAGAGUCUCUAGGGAGGUCCUGGUGGGAGGCUGUGCUGGCUUCUAGAGGCUUCCGUGGUAGCAUCUGGAACUAGGGCUGAGGUCACAGAGCUCUUAGAGUCCAGGCUGAGGACAAGGAGUGCAUCCCCCUCACCAGACUGGGCUGCCUGGUUAAGACAUGAAGAUCAAGUCUGUGGAGGAGAUUUGUCUCUUCUCCCUGCACAUCAAGGAAUUUGAGAUCAUUGACUUUUUCCUGGGGCAUCCUUCUAGGAUAAGGUUUUGAAGAUUAUGUCUGUUGUAAAAGCAGACCUGUGUUGGCCAGUGGACCAGGAUAAAGGCAUUUGUCACCAACAGGGAUUACAAUGGACAUGUCGGUCUGCGUGUUAGGUGCUCCCAGGAGGUAGCUCUUCCACCCAUAAUGCCAACUCUUCAUCAUCCUGUAUAGCAAGGCUACUGGGAGAACAAGAUCAGCAAACCCCAUACCAUCCCUUGCAAGGAGACCUGCCACUGUGGCUCUGUGCUGGCACCCUGCACCCCACCACCGAGAGGCACUGUCAUCAUCGAGACCACUGUGCUAUACCUUGGCCAGGGUCUAUACUACUGUCCUGUGUGACCUCACCAAGGCCACCUUUGAUGCCAUAGCCAAGACCUACAGCAAAAAUAAAUAGAAAUUAUAUUUAUAUUUGAAAAAACUCCUAAAACUAGAACUGCCCUGUGAGUCAGUAGUUAUACUUCUGGGUAUGUAUUUAUUUGAAGAAAACAAAAUAUUCCCUUGAAAAGGUAUCUACACCCCCAUGUUCACUGCAGCAUUAUUUACAAUAGCUAAGAUAUGGAAACAAUCUAACUGUCCAUACAUGGAUAAAUGGGUAAAGAAAAUACGGUAUAUGUUUAUAACGGAAUAUUAUUCAGCCCUAAAGAAAUGAAAUAUCACCAUUUGCAAAAACAUGGAUGGAUCUAGAGGGUAUAGUGCUAAGUGAAAGAAGUCAGACAGAGAAAGACAAAUACCACAUGAUCUCAUUUAUAUGUGCAAUUUAAACCAUACCAAACCAAACCAAAGAAACACCAAGCUUAGAGAUACAAAGAACAGAUUUGUGGUUACCAGGGGUCAGGGGUGUGGUUGUGAAAUGAGUAAAGGGAGUCUAAAGCUACAAACUUAGACAGUUUGUAAACAGUUAUAAACUGGCUCAGUCAGAAGACCAUGUGAUUUUUGAUCUUGGGGUCAUGAGUGCAAGCCCCAUAAUGGGUGUAGAGAUUACUUAAAAAUAAAUAAAAAACUAAAAUAAUUCAUCAGGAUAUAAUAUACAGCAUGGCAACUAUAGUUAAUACUGUAUUGCAUAUUUGAAAGUUGAUGAGAGAAGAAAUCUUAAAAGUUCUCAUUACAAGAAAAAAUUCUGGGAGCAGCUGGGUGGCUCAGUGGGUUUAGUGUCUGGUUCCUGAUUUUGGCACAGGUCAUGACCUGAGGACUGUGGGAUUGAGCCCCAUACUGGGUUCUGUGCUGAGCAUGGGGGCUGCUUAAAAUUCUCUCUCUUUCUUCCUCUUCCCCCUCCCCCACUUGUGCUCUUUCUCUCUCUCUCUCAAAUUAAAAAAAAAAUUAAAUAAGAACUCUGUAACUAUGUAUGGUGAGAGAUGUUAGCUAGAUUGUUGUGAUGAUCAUUUUACAAUAUAUACAAAUAUUGAAUCAUUAUGUUUUACACCCAAAACUAAUGUUUUAUGUCAGUUGUACCUCAAUUAAAGAAAAAGGAAGGGGGGAGGCCUGUAUGUGUAGGGGGUANNNNNNNNNNNNNNNNNNNNNNNNNNNNNNNNNNNNGGGAAAAGGGGCAGGGACUGUAGGUGAAGAAGGUAGAGACUUUGCAAAGAGGGUAUCGCAGGAGAAAAGCCAAGAAUUUGGUAAUGACUUUUUUUGAAAAAUUUUUAACGUUUAUUUAUUUUUGAGAGAGAGAGAGAGACAGAGUGUGAACAGGGCAGGGGCAGAGAGAGAGAGGGAGACACAGAAUCUGAAGCAGGCUCCAGGCNNNNNNNNNNACAGAGCCCCACACAGAGUUCUAACUCAUGAACUGUGAUAUGAUGACCUGAGCCGAAGUCGGCUGCUUAACUGACCGAGCCACCCAGGCACCCCGGUAAUGAUUUUCUACCAAAGACAGAGCAAUAGGGAGUUAAUGAUCAUCGGUAAAGGAAGUUUCUGAAGGGUUUGGUGUUUAUUCAUUAACUUAUUCCUCAAUCAUUUAUUGACUACUCAGUGUAUGUCAGGAAUUGUGUUAGGUGUGGGGGUUUCUCCAAAGAAAAAGUGUUAAGCUCCUGGCUUUAGAGAAUGGACAGUAUGGAGAGAGGAGAAAGAUGUGCUACAAAAAAAUAAAUAAAUAAAUAAAAUAAAUAAAUAAGUACAAUACCAGUGAAGUGCUAUCAUGAUGGAAAUGUUUAUAGGGUAUAGUGGACAUACCAAAAAAACGGGCAUGGAAGGGAGGGAGGAGGAUGUGGGUAUCAAAAUCUUUACAGUGUUCGUGCCCAGGUUAAACUUCUAUGUUUUAUUAGAUUAAUCUGUUCUCUGAGAUUAGGCACAUGUUUUAAAGGAGCUAGUGAAGAUUCUGAGAAUCACAUUUAUGAGAAGCUACCCUAUAUCAAGUGCUUCUUAUGUGCAGGCACUAUAUAUUUACGUUAAUCCUCACCAUAACCUUAGGAAGUAGAGAGUCUUGUGUCCAUUUUACAGGUGAGGACGUUUAGGAUCAGAGAUCUGUAAAAAUUAUCUGGGUUAGCACAGUAAUGGAACCAAAAACGAACUUUUGAUUGCCAUGUUUUCCAUUUUGCCUUGUUGUCCGUGUAUUAGAAGACACAUAUACCAAUAGUUGCUUUGUUCUUCAGUGUGUCCUACUUAAUGUACUGAUGAUUUCAUAGUUAACUUUCAGCUGUUUUAAUGGAGAGAAAUCACUUUCCUUGAUGAAAGCAAAACUUCACAUCACCGAUUUAACCAGCUGUGCUUUCUGCUAGAGCCACAUAGUCUAUGUGACGUCCGAGGCCAGAUUUCAUCGAAAAUCCCCAAACUAAAGUGUAGUUAUCAGAGAAUGUGGUGUUUUGACUCACCAAAUAUAGAUAAGGGUUUGUCUGUCUCUCUCUCUAAAAAAAAAAUAACUUUCGUAUGCAUUUUUCUGGGGAUAGUGAUUCUGAAGUUUUAUGAUAUGUUACCCUGAAAAGUUUAAGAACCAGCAGGGUGGAGUGUGAUGAGAGGUCAGGAUGGAACCUGAGACACCGCAGAAAAAGCUGCGUGAAAGAGAAGAAUCAAAGUCUCAGAACAGAACCCUGGGGGAUGCCAACACAAGGGAAAUCUCAUCAGCCGUUCCUGGGCUCUGAAGCUUCAACUGCUUUUUUAAAACAAAAUAUUUAUGUACAUAUGCAUGCAUGUAUGUAUGUACGUAGGUAUUUAGAGAGAGGGGGUGGGAGAAGGGCAGAGGGGGAGAGAGAGAGAGACUCUUAAGCAGGAUCUCCUCUCAGUGCAGAGCCCAACACAGGGCCCGAUCCUGUAACGCUGGGAUCAUGACUUGAGCCGAAAUCAAGAGUCAGGUGCUCAACCGACUAAGCCACCCAGGCUCCCCUUCAACUGCUUUUUUAUUCUGCUGCAUUUUUCCUAGUGUGGAUUCUGGGAAAAGAAAGGCCUGGCAUCUGGAAGACUGGCCCACAGACACUGAUAAGGUUUGGGAGUAGAAAUAACAAAUUAAAAGGGAGAGGACUAAUGAGCAUUUAGUUGGACUUCAGGCCUAGGGGUUUUUGGAAACACUAUUCUCAGACUUUUCUGAAACCUAGAAAUGUGCAAUUACACCUUCAGUAAAGAAAAUUAAUAAAUAUAAUCCUUUCAGUGUAAAGAAUUCUUGUCCAUGGAACAUGUAAUUGCUUUUUAUUCAUCAGGCUACACGGGAUAAGACGAAAUCCAAGUCCAGCAUUGGCUUCACCUGGUGAAAUGAAGAUAAAGGACAAAAUGUCUUUUGAAGUACAAAUAGAGUAUUCAUUUUUAAUUCAUGCUUUCUGCAAAUACAUUAUAUUUUGAAAGGUUUUCACGCCAGUUGGACUAAGAACAAUUCAAGUUUGAUCCUGUAUCUGUUUUUUGUUUUUUUUUAGUACUUACACUAGCAACACUUUGACUUUGUCCUCACAGUUUGUUUUGCUACUUUUCUUUACAGUCUUUUUAGGGGGGAAAUUCAGGAAUUUUGUUACAGAGUGAUACAAAAUGAAUGAUACCAAUAAUCAGGAAAGAGAAGGCAUAGGACUCUCUAUCACCAAUAAUUUUCUGAGUAUUUACUCAUUGGUCAAAUAUUACAUUUCUCUAUCUCUCAAAAUAAAAAUAUAAAAAUAGUUUAAAAAAGGCACCUGCCUGGGUGGCUCAGUCCGUUUAUGUCUGGCUCUUGAUGUCUGAUCUCACGGUUUGUGGGAUUAAACCCUGUGUUGGGCUCUGCACUGACAGUGUGGAGCCUGCUUGGGAUUCUCUCUCUCCCUCUCUCUCUGCCCCUCCCUGGCUUGCUUUCUCUCUAUUUCUCAAAAUAAAUUAAAAAAUUAAAAAAUAGUUUAAGUAUUGUAUUUAUACCCUGAUCAGUUAUCUUUGUGUUGGUAACUGUAUUAGCUUUCUACCACUGUAUAACAAAUAGCCCCAGGCCUCGUGUUUUAUUUAUUUAUUUAUUUAUUUAUUUAUUUAUUUAUUUAUUAAAAAAAUUUUUUUUAACGUUUAUUUAUUUUUGAGACAGAAUGAGACAGAGCAUGAACGGGGGAGGGGCAGAGAGAGAGGGAGACACAGAAUCGGAAGCAGGCUCCAGGCUCUGAGCCAUCAGCCCAGAGCCCGACGCGGGGCUUGAACUCACGGACCGUGAGAUUGUGACCUGAGCCGAAGUCGGACGCUUAACCGACUGAGCCACCCAGGCGUCCCCCCCAGGCCUCGUGUUUUAAAAGAAAUAGUUAUCUCACAGUUUCCUUUGAUCAGGAGUGGCUUAGCUAGGUGAUUCUGGCUUGAGGUUUCUUGUGAGGUUGCAGUUAAUAUGGAGGUUGGGGCUGCAGACAUCUGAAGGCUUUGCAGGGCCUAGAGAGCUGAUUCUAAGAUAGCUGAUUUGCAUGGCUAUUGGCAGGAGGCCUUAGUUUCUUGUCAAGUGAAUUUCUUUAUAGGAUUUCUUGAGUAUCUUCAUAACACAGCUGCUAGCUUCCUCCAAACUGAGUGACCAAGGAAAGCAAGGUGGAGGUCUUAACGUCUUCUAUGACCUAGCUUGGGGGUCCCAUUCUGUCAUUGCUGCAACAUUCUAUCGGUUACCAAUGUCUGUUCUGUGCAAAAUGUGGGAAACUAUAUAAGAGUGUGAACACUAGGAAACAGAGACUGUUGGGGGCCCUUAUGGAGGCUGGUCAUCACAAUAAUGAAAACUAUUUCUUAAAUGUCCUCCUGGAGUUUGUAAAUUCCAUUAAAACUGUCAUCACCACCGCUAUCACCACCAAGCAUGCUGCUUUAUUUUUCCCCAGUUUUAUUGAGAUAUAAUUGCCAUUUAACAUUGUAUAACUUUAAUAUAUACAACAUAACGAUUUGAUAUACGCACAUACUGUGAAAUGAUUACCACAUGAAGUUUACUUAGUAUCAGUCACCCUAGCAUGCUACUUUAGGGGUUUGCCAAAGAUCUGCUCAAUCGCUAAUCAAGAUUGAGACACAGUUAGGUCUUGGAGUACAGUUGUCAAUAACAUCACUUUAGCCACCAAGAGGAAUAGUACCUAUGAGCUUUUGCUUCCAUAUGUAACAUAGUGACCUCUAAAUCAUGAACCUUAGGUCUCAUCAUGAGUCAGCAUUAAUGGAUGGUAGGACCAGGUAAAGUUGGGGUUCAGCAGAAUAGUUAAUGGAUAUUAUUUUCAGUAGAUUGAAUUUGACAAGGUAUCAGUUGCUUUUAGUCAAGAAUUUCUCCGCAUGAGGAUUAAGCCUUUGGUUCACGAAAAAUAAUCACUCCAUACAAUCUAUAAAAGGCUAGUCUACGAAAAGUAUUUAUGUACAAAGAGCGUCAUAACCCUUUCAAAAGUCUUCCAUUUCCCUUCCUUAUUUUUGAGGGCUUCCAAAAAUGCCAUUCCUUAUUCAAACAUGACUCAAUUAUAAGACAAGUUGUACCAAAUUGUAAGCUUAGAAUUAAUGUAGGUUGUGAACUUAACAAGGUGCCUUUUGAAUGUCCCACUAAUGGCUAAUAAAGACAUGAAGUACAUAGAGGAAAUUCAAAAUAGAAUGUGGUGUAGGUCAGUGUUAGACCUCAUUCUCUAGUCUCUGUCUAGCAGCUCCUUCCUGUAGCUCCGUGGGGCUGCAUUCUGUAAAUGUGGGAGUCCAUGCCACUAACUGUGGGCAUGUAUGAUCUUUCAAACAGGGUGGAUCCCAUCCUUCUGGAUCCAGGGGAAGAAGUUAAUUAACAUGAGAGUGCGUGGGGCUGCUUUCUGAGGUCAUAGCUAGCCUUUAUGUUACUGACCAUUAAGGCGUACUCUUUUGAAAUUUAGAAAGGAAUCUUGGUUAUGGUCGUAUCGUAGCUUUUUGUUCUGUCAGAGGACUCAAGUGCUAGUUAUAUUUGAGAACAGUUUGGUUUUACCACCUGAGGAAUAAAUCAAGAAGAAGGGAAAUUUAAAAUGGGCUAUCUAGGGGGAAAAGCAGGCUUAACUAAAUCACUAACACUCCAGUGACUCUGCUUGUAUUGAUUCUGAGAAGCAGAGCUGCAACUAAAUUUGCUCUAACUUCAAAUUAUUAUACAGAAAUUCUUACCUGUUUUUAUCCCUUUAUUGAUAAAAUAAUUCAAAUAUGCCUCUUAAAUUCUAAUGGGAAACGGACUCUCUCUUUGAAGAAUUUACUGCCCAUCUUGUGGGUAGGAUAUUUGUAUAAUUCUCAGAAAAUGUCACCUUAGUGAUUCUUAGAGCAUAAGUAGAAAAGUGGCAAACAGGAGCUCUCCCACCUGUACCUGCAGGUAAUUUGAUCAAGGUCACAUAUACUAAUAGACAAGAAACUGCAUGAGUUAAAUAUUUGUUGAACGAACGGAUAAGAGCUUUAGAGCAACAGUUGUCUAAAAAAGGCAAAUAAGAGAUGUGCAAAAAUACUUCUAAGUGCUAAAAGAUAAUUAUAAAACUUUAUGAUAAUUUCCCUGAAGAAAUAAUUUCUUUCAGUUGGACAAAUCUGGGAAUGAUUCGGAUAGUUUGGGCAUGUGGAACAUUUCUCCUGUAAUAUUCCAUAGCUGAAAGCAUUGAUACAUCCUUGCCCUUUGGAACCCAGGCUAUUUCCCAAGGUUGGAUGAAGUCAAUACAGUGAAGUUCAAGGCCUGCAGAUUCCAGAGCACUAGUGACAACAUCACCAAAAAGGUUAAGAUCCAAAGUGGGUAGAGAGGUAAAGGGUCUCAGAGGGUGUGGGGGAUGGGAAACAAAUUCAGGAAGCUACUUACCUCCCAGCCGUGCCUCAUCUGUCAAAUGGGUCUAAUGAAGGUGAUGGACGUGAAAGCACCUGGAAUAAUGCUGGUCAAAUUGCCAUGCUUAGUGAUGGAAUCAUGCAUAAGUUGAUAAAGAAUUGGCUCUCAAUCAA
rnacentral:lncRNA from 1 species